rnacentral:rRNA from 1 species
AGGAUGAACGCUGGCGGCGUGCCUAAUACAUGCAAGUCGAGCGGUAAGGCCCCUUCGGGGGUACACGAGCGGCGGACGGCUGAGUAACACGUAGGAACGUACCCCAAACUGAGGGAUAAGCACCAGAAAUGGUGUCUAAUACCGCAUGUGGUCUUCGGAUUAAAGCUUCGGCGGUUUGGGAACGGCCUGCGCAUGAUUAGCUUGUUGGUGAGGUAAAAGCUUACCAAGGCGACGAUCAUUAGCUGGUCUGAGAGGAUGAUCAGCCAGACUGGGACUGAGAACGGCCCAGACUCCUACGGGAGGCAGCAGUAGGGAAUUUUCCACAAUGGGCGAAAGCCUGAUGGAGCAACGCCGCGUGCAGGACGAAGGCCUUCGGGUUGUAAACUGCUUUAUAUGUGAAGAUUAUGACGGUAGCAUAUGAAUAAGGAUCGGCUAACUCCGUGCCAGCAGCCGC